rnacentral:tRNA from 1 species
AUUUGGGAAGCUCCAAGAGCAUUAUUUUGAAGCAAUAAAGGAAGGUUCCACCUCUCGAAUA